rnacentral:rRNA from 1 species
AUUGAACGCUGGCGGCAUGCCUUACACAUGCAAGUCGAACGGUAACGCGGGGUAACCUGGCGACGAGUGGCGAACGGGUGAGUAAUAUAUCGGAACGUGUCCAGUAGUGGGGGAUAGCCCGGCGAAAGCCGGAUUAAUACCGCAUACGACCUACGGGUGAAAGCGGGGGAUCGCAAGACCUUGCGCUAUUGAGGCGGCCGAUAUCAGAUUAGGUUGUUGGUGGGGUAAAGGCCUACCAAGCCGACGAUCUGUAGCUGGUCUGAGAGGACGACCAGCCACACUGGGACUGAGACACGGCCCAGACUCCUACGGGAGGCAGCAGUGGGGAAUUUUGGACAAUGGGCGCAAGCCUGAUCCAGCCAUGCCGCGUGCGGGAAGAAGGCCUUCGGGUUGUAAACCGCUUUUGUCAGGGAAGAAACGCUCUGGGCUAAUAUCCCAGGGUAAUGACGGUACCUGAAGAAUAAGCACCGGCUAACUACGUGCCAGCAGCCGCCGGUAA